rnacentral:rRNA from 1 species
GACGCACGCUGGCGGCGUGCUUAACACAUGCAAGUCGAACGAAGUGGCGAACGGGUGAGUAACGCGUAAUCAACCUGCCCUUCAGAGGGGGACAACAGUUGGAAACGACUGCUAAUACCGCAUACUGAAGGCGGGGAUUGCGUCUGAUUAGCUAGUUGGAGGGGUAACGGCCACCCAAGGCGAUGAUCAGUAGCCGGUUUGAGAGGAUGAACGGCCACAUGUGGACUGGGACACGGCCCCGACUCCUACGGGAGGAAGCAGUGGGGAAGCUUCCGCAAUGGACGAAAGUCUUACGGAGCAACGCCGCGUGAGUGAUGACGGCCUUCGGGUUGUAAAGCUCUGUUAAUCGGGACGCGGUACCGGAAUAGAAAGCCACGGCUAACUACGUGCCAGCAGCCGCGGUAAUAC